AGAGUUUGAUCCUGGCUCAGGUUGAACGCUGGCGGCAGGCCUAACACAUGCAAGUCGAGCGGUAGCACAGAGAGCUUGCUCUCGGGUGACGAGCGGCGGACGGGUGAGUAAUGUCUGGGAAACUGCCUGAUGGAGGGGGAUAACUACUGGAAACGGUAGCUAAUACCGCGUAACGUCGCAAGACCAAAGUGGGGGACCUUCGGGCCUCAUGCCAUCAGAUGUGCCCAGAUGGGAUUAGCUAGUAGGUGGGGUAAUGGCUCACCUAGGCGACGAUCCCUAGCUGGUCUGAGAGGAUGACCAGCCACACUGGAACUGAGACACGGUCCAGACUCCUACGGGAGGCAGCAGUGGGGAAUAUUGCACA
rnacentral:rRNA from 1 species